rnacentral:rRNA from 1 species
GACAGAGGGUGCAAACGUUGCUCGGAAUCACUGGGCGUAAAGGGCGUGUAGGCGGGAAGUAAAGUCAGAUGUGAAAUCCCUGGGCUCAACCCAGGAACUGCAUUUGAAACUCACUUUCUUGAGUACCGGAGAGGAAGGUGGAAUACCUGGUGUAGAGGUGAAAUUCGUAGAUAUCAGGUGGAACACCAGUGGCGAAAGGCGGCCUUCUGGACGGUAACUGACGCUGAGACGCGAAAGCGUGGGGAGCAAACAGG